GCAGACACACUCUGUUCUCCGCUGCUUCCUCCAGCCUUGGACUUUUUCUGUCUGCAACAUGACCAUGCAGAAUGUAACACUUAACUGGCUUUAUGAAAGGCUGGUGAGAUUAUGUUCUGCUACAAGAGC